ensembl:lncRNA
AAAAUGGUGAACAAAGUCUGUAUCCACAAUAGUUAAAACAUUCUUAAAACGGACAUCCGGGAUUCCAGGGUCAAAGAGGCAGAGCUGUAGACGUCGGUACUGUCUCUUUAAAGGUGGGCACAAACUAGCAGAGUACAAAGCUGGGCUCGCUUACUGAAGUCGCAGUCUUCCGUCUUGCGUCGCCAGUCUCUCUUGACGGGGGAGAGAAGAGAGGAAGAGAGAGCACCCCAGAUCGGCCUUUUACAAGACUUGAUUUGACAGAGCGCAUAAAACAGAAAUCGAGACUCAUCAGACCAGGCAACAUUCUUCCAGUCUUCAACUGUCCAAUUUUGGUUAUUACGUUUUCAGUAGUUUUGUUCCCGGAGGAGGAUGACUGUGUGCAGCAGUUUCCACGCCAGGAUGGAGCAAGCACAAUACUCCAAGGCACCAGAGAGGUACUCCACACCACCAUGUAGAGGAUAGCUACAUAGGGCAAGAAGGCAGAGGUAGGGGAAGUCUUAGCUCUGUACAUGAAGAUUACAGUCAGGGAUGACAACACACCUCUUUGAACAACAUUCGGGAGGCUGUGGUUGCUGCUUCAGCGAAAGUUGAUCGUGAACAGAUCAAGAAACUGACAGACUGCAUGGAUGGAAGGCUCAUGGCAGUUAUUGAAAAGAAGGGUGGCUAUAUUGGUCAGUGAAUAUUUUUGAAAGGCCAGAAAUUUAAUUUUCAUUUUGUGUUACUUAUUUGUUGCACUUACUCUAAACAUUGAGAAUAAACAAGUGAGUUGGAGAAAUAAUUUUUGUAA